rnacentral:rRNA from 1 species
CACAGAGUUAGCCGGUGCUUAUUCUGCGAGUAACGUCCACUCAUCUUGGGUAUUAACCAAAAGAGCCUCCUCCUCGCUUAAAGUGCUUUACAACCAUAAGGCCUUCUUCACACACGCGGCAUGGCUGGAUCAGGGUUCCCCCCAUUGUCCAAUAUUCCCCACUGCUGCCUCCCGUAGGAGUCUGGGCCGUGUCUCAGUCCCAGUGUGGCGGAUCAUCCUCUCAGACCCGCUACAGAUCGUCGCCUUGGUAGGCCUUUACCCCACCAACUAGCUAAUCCGACUUAGGCUCAUCUAUUAACGCAAGGUCACAAGUGAUCCCCUGCUUUCCCCCGUAGGGCGUAUGCGGUAUUAGCAUCCCUUUCGAGAUGUUGUCCCCCAUUAAUAGGCAGAUUCCUAAGUAUUACUCACCCGUCCGCCGCUAGGUCAAUUACCGAAGCAAUCUCCCCGCUCGACUUGCAUGUGUUAAGCCUGCCGCCAGCGUUCAAUCUGAGCCAGGAUCAAACU